AAUGAGUGAUGACAAUUUGUUUCGGUCCCAGAUGAGAUCAUGAUUACUUUUUUUCAAAUGCUGACAUU
rnacentral:snoRNA from 1 species